UACGUAGGGGGCAAGCGUUGUCCGGAUUUAUUGGGCGUAAAGAGCGUGUAGGCGGCCAGGUAGGUCAGCUGUGAAAACUCGAGGCUCAACCUCGAGCUGUCGGCUGAAACCAUCUGGCUAGAGUCCGGAAGAGGAGAAUGGGAUUCCCGGUGUAGCGGUGAAAUGCGCAGAUAUCGGGAAGAACACCCGUGGCGAAGGCGGUUCUCUGGGACGGUACUGACGCUGAGGCGCGAAAGCGUGGGGAGCAAACAGG
rnacentral:rRNA from 1 species